CUCUCUCUCACUCUCUCUCUCUCACACACAGACACAAACUCAAACCAUCCAGCACUGAGUGAUGUGCAGGAGGGGGAUCAAAGGGAGCGCUAAUUCCUCAGUGCUCAAGAUGUACACACACAUAUGCAUGUGCGCAUACACACACACACUGAGCUGAGAGCUGUUCAUUCAUUAAUGGAGUCACAUGCUGCACAUCUCAGUUUCACACAUCACUGGCCUUUAGUUAGUGAAAGACGACUCAGAUAGAAGGAGAAAGUGCGCAGGCUUGUCUGCAUAUAUGCAUGUCUGUGAAGUCUGUUACCUUUCGUUUUCAUGAAUGAUUUUGUCCACUCAUACAAAAAAAAAGUGCGUAUUUGGUUACAAGUAUGUGCCAGUGAAGCAUGUUCACUCUCAUGCAUGGAGAGACGCAUUAGCAUGCGCAUGAAUGCAGGCGUAAUUGUGCGUGCGUGCUCCUGUGCAUUGUUGUGUGAGUGGCUGCUCUCCGCCGCCUGCUCGCUUGGAUCUGCUGUCACAUGUCCUCUGCUCAGGAACACACGAGGCAGCAGCAGUGCAGAGGAAAAUCAUCGCAUCUCUCACAUUGUCAGGAUUUUCUUAACUUCUCCACCUGCACGUGAGAAGAAAAUUUGGGUGGGGAGUGGGAGCUCGUGUUUAUCAGAUUUGCCACAAUCGUCUCUGGCUUCAAAGCUGCCAUGUUAUCAGAGAGGUUGAUGGUUUAUGAAAUGACUAUUGUGAAAUAUUUAACAUUUCACACACUCGUGCAGGAUUAUCCAUCAUCGCAGCUAAGAUUCCUGCAGAUGCAUCAUCCCUCCCACUCCCACUCUGCUCCCAUGGACAUCGAAUCCCCCCACCCCACUGCACCGGAGUUUCCUUUUGGAAAUCUGAGUACCUCACCCUGGAAGAAAAUAUCACACAUGCAGCCUCUGUGGAUUAAACUUGAAGC